GCUUUAUGAAAACACCACCCUGAUUCAGUGAGCCAGAGGCAGCCUGCAGUCCCUGUUUUCCUGUAAAGGCAGAUUGCUGUGGAUGGCCUCUGGCCUCGUCAUGCAGCCCUGCUCAGAGUAGGGGAUUGAGGGUCCAGGCAGAUCCCUAGUUCCUUUUGACCUUUAUUGCCAUUGGGCUGCCCUAGGGUCCUUGGACUCUACCUGGUCUUCUGGCCUGGAUCAGGGGAUGUGAGGUUUGGAAUCCCCCCUCUGUGGCAGGAUCCCAGCCCCCCCCCAGCCACUUGAGGGCAGCACAUCCUUCCCUAGUUGUGUUGGAGAGGGAGAAUUCUCCCACCCAUCCUCAUCCUUGCUCAUUCUGCAUUUUGUAGCUUGAUACCUGAGGACUUUAUUCAUUGACUUAGUGGUUAGUCAUGAUGGUUGCUAAGACUAAGUGACUCUUUCAAGGUAGGGCUAGAGCAUUGAUCUUUGUAAGUGAUUGCAUGGGACUUUCUCAUGGAAAUUGUGACUGAUGUUGUUGUAUGAGGGGGGAGAAAUUGGCUUUUGGAAGUCGUCUCAUGAAUAGGAGACUCAGAAAUGGACAUCACAACUAAUGACAUCAUCGCCUUGAUGGAUCAAACAGGACAUGGAACCCUGGUAACCAGACACACACUUCACUAAGGAAGCCAUCCCAGCUUACUUUGUUUCAGACUCUGGAGUGAGAAGGAUGUUCUCCUGUGGCCCCCAGGAGUCUCCAGGGUAGAUUGUGCAGCCUUUCCUUUGUGGGGGAAGACUGGGAGAGGAUUCAUGUUAGAUGCUAGAGUCUCUGGCGAUGAUCCCAGAGAAACUCAAGAAUGAGUAGCACAGGGCAGGUAGGCCCAGCAGGCCCUUUUGUCUGAAUGGCCCAGGACUCAUUCUGUGUGUGUGUGUGUGUGUGUGUGUAAAAUUAUGUGAACUGUCCCAUUGUGCUUUUACUUCACAGUAUUGGAAUAAGUCCUUUUCCUGUUUGCUACUAUUUCCCAUUUGAACCCAUCAUUUUUGAUACCAGUGCAAAAAUGAGCUAGAUCAGAACAUGGAUGAGCCCUGCAGGGUAGAGACUCUUGAAGCUUAUAAGCAGAACCAGCUCAUGAAUCAGCUUGUGCACAUCGUUUGUGGCAGGAACUCAAAUUUUGGCAGCACCUUUGGGUCCAUCUACUCGGAUUUCAUCCCCACCCAGCAGGUCCUGGACCUGCUGUUCUCAAGCCUCUAGGCUCUCUGAUUCUCCAGAUGCUGCUGCCAUACAUGCACCUGCUCCUGGGUGGCUUGAACAUGAAGCACCAAGCAUACCACCUGCUGUCCCAGAUUGAUGAUGGGAAGUCAAGCAAGGCAGAGCCUGAGUACCAGGCGGACUGGGGUGUGUAUCUAAGGCUACAAGCUCAGUUCCAAUGAAGGCUCCUAAGCCAACCCCAGAGCUAGAGCCUUCUCCAGGAAUGGCUCCGGUGCCCUGGGAAGGAGCAGCAACAGCAUGUCAUCCAGAGCUGGAGUCCAGGAAAUCAGGUGUCUCCACUAGGUAUUCCUCAUGGCCCCUGUACAACAAGUGGGUGGGAGGCAGCUGCCACAUUCAUGUCUUCCUGGAAAACCAAAGCACAACAAAGUAGAGCAUCCUGGUGAGUCUUCGAGCAGGGGAGUCUCCUGGGAGCCCACAUUGGGGAAGACCGAGUCCACUGCAAACAUCUUGGACUAGGCAUGUCUUUUUGAAUUAGAGCUGCUGUAAGGUCAAUAAGGAGAGCAGAAAAUGAGGAAGAGAGAGGCCAGAGCUUGACUUUAGAGGUGGGAGAGCAGCAGCAUGCCAGGUCUGGGUGGGAGUGGGCCUGCAUGUUUUGGGGUAUGUAGGCCAAAAGUGCAGAAGCAAGUGCUGAGUUCAGAGGAGGUCAGAGAAAUAACUAGGGUACAGGCUGUCCUCUAUUGGCCUUGGUAUUGUUGAUGAAUGUGUUGGAUCUAGGAGGUUGGAGCAGAGGAGGUGGCAGUCAUUUUUUUUGUGUGUGGGAGAGGAUAUGUUUCUGGUUAAGGGAAAGGAGCCUUCUUAGCAUGAUUUGAUUAGGUAGCUGUAGGUCACAGAAAACUGGGAGCCUCACACAAGGCCACUAGUUUCAAAGUUUGCAUGUACAUAUAUGGGGAGAUAGAGACUCUCUUGCAGAAUAUUUGUGGGUGUGGAUUAUCUGCAGUGGGCUCCAGGUGUCCAGCAACAGAGGAGCCAUGUUCAAACACUGCCCCUGCUGGGCCUGUACCUUCUUAUAUCCCAGCAUGCACUGAGACUCUAGAGGCCAGCAGCUCUCAUGGCUAUCAUUAAAGAGUCACCAGCAAGCUCUGGUCUAGGUUUGUGCCUGAUCUGCACACAAAUGCAGCCGCAUCCCAGACCACAGCAGGGAUAUAGGAGACCACUGGAUCAUUCCUCCCAUCUUGAUGGGACUAGAGUGUGUCUGUGCAAAGCCUGUUUGGUCCUUGUUCCCUUCUCCCUGUAGGGCAUAGCAGGUUCAAGCAGACUCUUGUACCAAGAUUGGGCUAGAAGCACAUAGGAAGGCCCCACAUAGUCACAUGAAGUUCUCAGGUAGCAGGGUAACAAGAUGGUGCCCUUGUGUUGAGAGCUCAGUUGUCUCUGAUUGUUCUUGAGCAAACUCCUUCUCUGACGAGCUUUCUCCAAUCCUGCUCGGGUGACAUGCCAGGACAGGGCUCUGACCAUCAUCCGCAGGGCUUUAGAUGAACACUUGCUCCAGCAGGAGGAUCCAGAAAACUUUGAGCUUCUGUAUAUUGGCUCAAGCACCAAAGUAUUGGUGGCCAAUGAGAACAGGACAGUAUCUAGGUUGUAGGUUCCCUGUAUGAGAUGGAGGAUACUGGCGUCCAUGGAGGAGAAUAGCAGUAUGAGAUUCUGCAUGUUUCUUGAACAAGGAGCUGAGAGGGUCUCUCUGCAGAGUCGAUUGGAUGUGGAGAAAGUACACAAAAUGUCCAGGUAACCCAAUGACCACCCUUGCCAAUGAGGUGUCCUCCUACACCCCAGCCAGCACUGAGCCUCUGGAGGCCAAGAGCUCUCGUGACUAUCUUUCAACACUCCUGUGUAUGGUCAUGUUCCUGGGUCUGUUUUGGGCCCUGGAAAUCCAGACCAAAGCCUCUAGGUUUUGUGCCUGAGCCAUUCCCAAUGUAGCCUGCAUCCUUGGGCAGACCUGGGAUCUUGGAGGCUACUGUCCCAUUCCUCCCAUCUUGGUGGGAUGAGAUUAUGUCUGUAUACAGGUUGUGUGGUCCUUUCAUCUUGAGUGAAAUAUGGCCCCACAAAAAGAUCAACGGUAGGUCCAGGCAGUCCUUUGUCCAAGGAUUGGGCUAGCAGCCCAUUGGUCAAGUUCACAUGAUUAUCAGGAGGCCAAUCUCAGGACAUAGGUCAUGGUCAUGGAUGUUGCCCUUGUAUUUAGAGCUGAGGUGCCUCCUGAGUGUCUCUGUCCACUGUCCUUGAGUAGCCACUUCAAAACCAAUUUCCAGCAUGUCUGUCUCCCAUGCUGCUCCAGGUAGCCUGCCAGGAGCAGGGCCCUCGAGCUGAACUUCCUAAAUCAUCUCCAACCAUUGUAGUAAGUGGGACUAUCAGAUGGCAGGGAGCAAAGAUUAGGAUGUGGACUUAGGUCGAAUCUUAUCCACAAAGAGUAGUCUCUGACCCUCAAGAACACUCCAACAGGGUGUAUUGGGGCUCGUGCAUAAAGCAAACUGCACUUCUGCUGGUGGAAAGUCUCGAGGUUCUAUGGUAUGCUCCAGUGGCUAGUGGGGCUCCCCACCAGGUGCCCUCCCCUGGACAUGAACGGGCAUCCAAAGCUGACAUCAGUGAGGAGUGAGGAGGAAAGCCUCUUUCCAGGAGCAGUAUGGCUCCGUGGUCUGGGAUAGGAGUGGUUUCAAAGGAAUGUGGGAAUGCAUGGGCUAAUGAUGGAACUGGCAUUUUGUGGACUGAAGCAGUACUAUUGAAAGCCUUCUGUGUGACCAGAAAACCACUGCCUGGGCAGAGCAUUGCCAGGAUACUAGCAAGCAGUAACAGGAUGAAAUUGGGAAGAAAACACAGCCUGGGAGACAGCCUGAAUCUUCUGUGUUUGGACAUAUCCAUGGUCUUCCGCACCUGAGUUCACUUGCCAAGGAGUGAUCAUAAUAGCCAGGUUAUGACCCCUAACUAAAGUCAGAUGAGGGCUUGCUGAGCACGUCUGUCACAAAGCUCAUCUGAUAAUAAUGCCAGUGCUCUUUUUUUUUUUUUUGAGACAAACACCCACAGCAGCCAUGAUCCCAGCCUAUCUACACUGAAAGCUACCAACUCUAUGUGAGUUCUAGGUUAAAUUUUCUCCUAUCUUAACCUACUAAGUCUGUUGGGUUAGUAGAGUCUUAUGGAAGAGGAAGUAUGUGGCCUUGGUAGCCUAAGAAAUUGAUAGCAGAGAUCCAAACAUCCAACCCAGAAGGGAUGGAAUACAGGCUCUAAGAUAGAGGAGGCCGGCAGGAAACAGGUGUUCAGAGGAAGAAGAAGCUGGCUGUUGUAUUCCCCCACUGGACCAAAGCACUGCUGAACCAUAGCACCAUGUUGGAGGGAAGCAGUCCCUUUGCUGAUCUUUGGAGCCAUUGUUCUCAGUAGGGCAGCAUUUGGGAUGUGGCCACAAUUCUGGGAAGCCUGGUCCACAUGGAGGCGGGCACCAACAAUGGCAGAAGCAUGGCUCAAAUAUGGUAUCUGUUCUGGUCAGCCUGUCCUCACUGUGGCCUUACUUGAGGAAAAUAACUCAGAGGAGGAAUCCUAGGCCUUUUCUCCGGGUUUCAUAGCUUUCUCUUUGGUUGUGCACUGAAGCUGUCCAUAACGCUCUAGUGUGUGGCAAUGGAGAGCUCCUCAGCCCUUGCCACAAAGGCAUAGACUGGGAGCGAGAGAGAAUGAGGCUGGGAGAGAGAGAAAUACAGAUAGGAGGUAGAGGAUGAAUACUACCAGAGAGAUUGAGCAUUGAGAGGAUCCAACAGGGCCAAGAUAGUUACCAAAGGCAAAACCUAGUCAGGUCUUCCUCCACCCAUGCCCAAUCUUUCUUCCAGUCCCUCCCACCUCCCAGUAGUGGAUUCAUCUUGAAUGAGAAUUUCAUGAUGUCAUCAGAGCACUCACCAUUGAAUGCUUCCCUCCAAACUCACCUGUGAAGAUGGCUGAUGUGGGGACCAAAUCGUCGGCACACAAGCCUUUUUUGGGAGAUUCCAGAUGCCAACCUAGUGGUGUGCUUUUGUAGAUCCAGGAGAAACUGGAAGGUUCUGCAGUCUAAAACCGUUGGAAGCAACAGAUCUUAGUUCUGUUGAAGUGCUCUGCAUAGUUUUUCCUCAGGGAAGACUACUGUGGAUGUCUUUGUUGGUAUUGGAGCUGAAUUGGAGAGCUCUCAGGUCUGUGGCUCAGGUCCUUCCUGACAUAGGUUCUCCCAUGUUGGGGGUUCAUGUGGUGCACCUAUUGAGUGCCACUUUCCAUCCUGAUACCCCUCUCCCCAGAGCUGAAGAUUCCUCAUGACAUAAAUGUUUUCUAUGUCAUGAAUUCUCACAUUCAAUAUGACUUUGUGCUGAGGAAGAGGACCAUCCCAAAGGAGAAGGAUGAGUGGAUCCAGGCCAACCUCCCCCUUAUGAUGCAAUGGAGGCUCAAUCUCUCUACCGGAUCCUUUGAAGAACAAUUUGCUACUGUCUGGCUGGGCAGUGCUGAACAUCCCAUGAUCAUUGACAUUCACUUCUUUUAGUAUUUGCUUCAAACUUUUCAAGUUGCCAAUCUAUAAUUUGACGUUAGUUCUUUGUUAUUUAUUCCCUUUCGUAACACAUUCAUUAUGAUAUCAUUUGUCGUUUAAACCA